rnacentral:rRNA from 1 species
UACGAAGGGGGCUAGCGUUGCUCAGAAUCACUGGGCGUAAAGCGCACGUAGGCGGACUCUUAAGUCGGUGGUGAAAUCCUGGAGCUCAACUCCAGAACUGCCUUCGAUACUGAGAGUCUUGAGUCCGGGAGAGGUGAGUGGAACUGCGAGUGUAGAGGUGAAAUUCGUAGAUAUUCGCAGGAACACCUGCGGCGAAAGCGGCCUUCUGGACGAACACUGACGCUGAGACGACG